GGGUAUGGCAGUUCCUGGGUUUGCCUUUGUUUUUGAGUAUUUAAGUUCUUGUUUGGUUGCUGAGAAUAUUAGGGUUCUUGACUUUGGCAUAUUCACCUGAGCCUAGUCAUUCUACUACCACUGCAUGCGGUUGCUUUUAAUUGCUCAUGACUAGUAAAUUAUCACUAUCUUAUGUUAGAAGUUGGUGAAACUGAAACCACUCGGAUUAUAUUCAAGGAAACAUACUUAUUUUCUUGAGUUUUGAUUGUGGGUGUAACUGGGCAUCGUGAAUUCUUAAAUGCAUGUGGGAGCUUUUCUUGGAAUUGCAUGUUUU
rnacentral:misc_RNA from 1 species